GAUGAACGCUGGCGGCGUGCCUAAUACAUGCAAGUCGAGCGAACGGACGAGAAGCUUGCUUCUCUGAUGUUAGCGGCGGACGGGUGAGUAACACGUGGAUAACCUACCUAUAAGACUGGGAUAACUUCGGGAAACCGGAGCUAAUACCGGAUAAUAUUUUGAACCGCAUGGUUCAAAAGUGAAAGACGGUCUUGCUGUCACCUAUAGAUGGAUCCGCGCUGCAUUAGCUAGUUGGUAAGGUAACGGCUUACCAAGGCAACGAUGCAUAGCCGACCUGAGAGGGUGAUCGGCCACACUGGAACUGAGACACGGUCCAGACUCCUACGGGAGGCAGCAGUAGGGAAUCUUGCGCAAUGGGCGAAAGCCUGACGGAGCAACGCCGCGUGAGUGAUGAAGGUCUUCGGAUCGUAAAACUCUGUUAUUAGGGAAGAACAUAUGUGUAAGUAACUGUGCACAUCUUGACGGUACCUAAUCAGAAAGCCACGGCUAACUACGUG
rnacentral:rRNA from 1 species